UCAGUCUUGCUUGCCUGUCCUGGUUUGGGUUGCUACCUCUGGGGCCUCAUUAAAAAUUGCACCCAGCCCUUUGGGGGAACAGGAGGGAAUGGUUGUUUCCAGCCUCUCACCUCCUUCUUCCCCUUCAGACCUACUACAACAGUCUUUGAAAAUACUGAGUUCCCUUUUGAUGUUAAAGACAGCAUAAUGUUAUUGUUAGUGUUGCUCUGUCUGCUCUGUACUGUGUACACCAUGUUUAGGGUCAGAACAGGGCCUUCUGGGGGGGUUGUUUGGACACCUGCCCUGGGAGCAGAUAAUGCUGAGUGGCACGGGAAGUGGGAGGACAUCAGCCAGUAUUUGGAAAAGUUUUCUCCUCCAAUGAUCUGGAAAUUCACCCCUGAACAACUGCAGGAUCCUGUUAGCAUGAUAAGACUGGUGAAGGAAAAAUGCUCUGGCAGCUCCAGAGAUGGCCAGCUCACAGCAACCUGCUGGGCCCUGGCCACUGCCUACCGGGCACUGCUUGACAUGGUACAGCACUGUCAGGGCGAGGAGAGAAGGAGCAAAUCCGCAGACACCACGUCCACCCAAACCACAGCUGAGUCAGAGGGAGAAAGAAAUAAACCAACCGGCACCGUGUCCACACAAACCAUCGAGGAGCCAGAAGAACAAGCAAAACCAAUAGCAGUCGCCCCUGUCCAGAAAAGGAAAUCAAAGACUAAAUCAGUCCGUAUAGCAAAUGAUGACGAAGAGGCGGGACCUUCACAUCCACCGGAGGAGACAGAGCCAGAAAUAAUCACUCGGUCCCUAUCCCUGGGUGAGCUACGUGAGCUCCGGAGAGAGUUCACACGACAGGCGAACGAGUCCAUUCUGACCUGGCUGCUCCGAAUCUGGGAUGCCGCAGCUAACGAUACGAUCCUAGAUGGGAGUGAAGCCAGACAGCUGGGAUCCCUGUCUCGAGAUGUAGUCAUUGAUCAGGGGAUUGGAAGGAGGCAGGAAACUCUCAGCCUCUGGCGGCGACUGUUGUCCAGUGUGAGGGAGAGAUACCUUUGCAAGGAGGACCUCCACGUACAGCAAGGACAGUGGAACACGAUGGAACAAGGUAUCCGGUGCUUAAGGGAGUUAGCUGUACUGGAGAUAAUCUUUUCAGAGGAUGAAAGAUUCCCUAAGAGUCCAGAUGGCGUACAGUGCACCUCCCAAAUGUGGUUAAAGUUUGCACGACUCGGGCCAGAAAUGUAUUCCCGCUACUUAGCAACGCUGCAAUGGAGGGAGGGAGAGGACAAGGUGGGAGCAUUGGUUAGUAAACUCAGGAUUUAUGAAGACACUGUCACCGCCCCAUUACGAGCC
rnacentral:lncRNA from 1 species